rnacentral:rRNA from 1 species
AUUGAACGCUGGCGGCAGGCCUAACACAUGCAAGUCGAGCGGUAGAGAGGAGCUUGCUUCUCUUGAGAGCGGCGGACGGGUGAGUAAUGCCUAGGAAUCUGCCUGAUAGUGGGGGAUAACGUCCGGAAACGGACGCUAAUACCGCAUACGUCCUACGGGAGAAAGUGGGGGCACUUCGGACCUCACGCUAUCAGAUGAGCCUAGGUCGAGUUAGCUAGUUGGUGGGGUAAAGGCUCACCAAGGCGACGAUCCGUAACUGGUGUGAGAGGAUGAUCAGUCACACUGGAACUGAGACACGGUCCAGACUCCUACGGGAGGCAGCAGUGGGGAAUAUUGGACAAUGGGCGAAAGCCUGAUCCAGCCAUGCCGCGUGUGUGAAGAAGGUCUUCGGAUUGUAAAGCACUUUAAGUUGGGAGGAAGGGUCGUUACCUAAUACGUGACGAUUUUGACGUUACCGACAGAAUAAGCACCGGCUAACUCUGUGCCAGCAGCCGCCGUAAAAC